CGAACUGAACGUGAGAGAAAAAACAAUAACACCUCAGGAUAACAGAGGGCUAAAUAAAGGGGAAGUAAUCAGGGAAGUGAUGAAGUCCAGGUGUGCCUAAUGAUGAGACGCAGGGGUGCGUAAUGAAGGUUGCCAGGUGUGUGUAAUGAGGGUUAACAGGUGUGUGUAAUGAGGGUUUCAGGUGUGAGUAAUGAAGGUUGCCAGAAGUGCGUAAUGAAGGUUUCGAGGUGUGAGUAAUGAAGGUUGCUAGAUGUGAGUAAUGAAGGUUUCCAGGUGUGAGUAAUGAAGGUUGCCAGGUGUGCGUAGUGAAGGUUUCCAGGUGUGAGUAAUGAAGGUUGCCAGGUGUGCGUAGUGAAUGUUUCCAGGUGUGAGUAAUGAGUGUUACCAGAUGUGCGUAAUGAAGGUUGCCAGGUGUGAGUAAUGAAGGUUUGCAGAUGUGCGUAACGAAGGUUGCCAGGUAUGAGUAAUGAAGGUUGCCAGAUGUGCAUAAUGAAGGUUGCCAGGUGUGUGUAACGAGGGUUGCCAGGUGUGAGUAAUGAAGGUUGCCAGAUGUGCAUAAUGAAGGUUGCCAGGUGUGUGUAACGAGGGUUGCCAGGUGUGUGUAAUGAGGGUUGCCAGAUGUGCAAAAUUAAGGUUGCCAGGUGUGAGUAAUGAAGGUUGCCAGGUGUGAGUAAUGAAGGUUGCCAGGGGUGCGUAAUGAAGGUUGCCAGAUGUGCGUAAUGAAGGUUGCCAGGUGUGAGUAAUGAAGGUUGUCAGGUGUGUGUAAUGAAGGUUGCCAGAAGUGAAUAAUGAGGGUUUCCAGAAGUGCAUAAUGAAGGUUGCCAGGUGUGUGUAACGAGGGUUGCCAGGUGUGUGCAAUGAGGGUUGCCAGAUGUGCAAAAUGAAGGUUGCCAGGUGUGAGUAAUGAAGGUUGCCAGGUGUGAGUAAUGAAGGUUGCCAGGUGUACGUAAUGAAGGUUGCCAGGUGUGCGUAAUGAGGGUUGCCAGAUGUGCAUAAUGAAGGUUGCCAGGUAUGAGUAAUGAGGGUUACCAGAUGUGUGUAAUGAAGGUUGCCAGGUGUGGGUAAUGAUGGGUUGCCAGGACCGGUGCUUAGUAGACUGGUGACGUUGCGCACCGGAGAGGGGGAGCAGGAGUAGACGUGACAGUCUUAAUGUGAAUGAAACUGCUUUACUGUACUGGCUCAAAGCAUUGGAGGUGAUUGGGGAAUGUUUUGACACAAAAUGGCUGCAGUGCUUACAUCACAAACCCAGCUGCUAUCUCGAAAACGUAAUUAGCUAAAUGUUAAAGCAAAAGCCUGCUCACCCAAUAGCUCUCUAGGAGGAGGGUGGGCAGAACCUUGUGUAGCUGAAUCAUCUGUGUUAGUGCAGGGCUGGAGAAAAAGCCUGCUCACCUACUGUGGUAGCUCCAGGCCUGCAGUGUAGCAUGUGUGGAGGAGUGAUAUUUGUAUGGCUACAGAAUGUUCCUAUCAACUGUAUUGUACAGCUUCACAGCUCCACCACCCUGAGGAUAGUAGAGCUGCUUCAAACACCACCACCACCACCACUCUCUAACCCCUACACAUCGCUUCCUGGGUGGAAAUAAAGAUGUGUGUGUACAUCCAUCUCUCUCUCUCUGUGGGUGUGUUAAACGAAGUGUACAGCGUGUGUGUGUGUGUGUG
ensembl:lncRNA